ACUCUCACACUCACUCUGGUCCUAACCAUGAACCUGACCUUCACACUCACACUGACUCUGGACUUCACCUUCAGAUUCACCUCACCUCACUGAAUAGAACAAAAAGACCAGCCUCCUUCAACAAGAGGAAAUUCUUCAGCAGACUGCCUUUAGACUGGAACUGCACCAUUGGCUCCCCUGGGGCUCCAGCCUGCCAGCCUCCAUAAUUAUAUGCUCUAACUCAUCUUAAAGAGGAGAAUCAGUGGGAAACGGGUCUGGGAAGAUCAUUGGUCAGCUCUGGUCCCAGAAACUUGGGCAGGCACCCCCUGUAAAGCACUUGUGAACAUGGGGACUCGUCUUCUACGCCGAAAAGUGGUGACUCACACCAUGGGCAAGUGGCAGAUAUUCAGCCUCUGGAAGAGAAUACUGGGGACAGUUGCUGGCAGCACAGGUUGGCACUUGGACUCUGAAACAAAAAAUGGGGACUUCACUUCUGGAGGGAGAGGUGGGGACACAGCCCCAGGGCAAGGGGAGGGGACUUAGCUUCUUGGGGGAGAUGCAGGGAGGAAGCUUCUGGAGUGGGAAGUCUCUAAUGAGUGGCAUGGAUUUAGUCUGUAGAACUGAAACCAAAACUCAUCUUUUAGAAGGGAUAAGUGUAGACUUAGCCUUUGGGACAAGUGGUGAGGACAUAGCAUCUGGAAGGAGAAGCAAGAAUGUAGCCUCUGCUGAGGGAAAUGAACGUGUAAUCUCUGGGGCAAAAGAUAGGUACUUAACCUCUGGCAUUGAAAUCCAGACCCAGCCUCUGGAAGAAGAGUGGACUUACCCCCUGGGCAGAUGGUGGAAACCUUGCUUAUGGUACGAGCAUUGGGAACUUAGCCACUGGAGUCAAAAUCAGGGCAGGCAUAGACUCUGGGGCAGAAAGUGGAAACUUCACCUCUGGGGUGAACAGUGGGGGCUUCUUCUCUGGAGUCAGAUGGGGACUCAGCAUUGGGAAGAAUACGGUGGACUUUUUAUAUUCUGGAGACAGAAGUAGCCUUUAGGGAGAGAGGUAGAGAUAGCCUGUGGAGCCCAAAUCCAGAUGUAGCCUCUGGAGGGAGAAGUAGGGCCCUCACCUGGUGGGAGACCUCUGGGGACUCAGCUUCCAGCUCUAGAAGCAGAGACCUAGACUCAGGUGUGGGUAGUGGGAUGUAGUCUCUGAGGCAAGAGAUGACUUCUGCAGUCAGAAUUGGGGCUCAGCCUCCGGAGAGGGAAGUGUGGACCCAGCCAGUGGGUAUAUGGUGGAAACUUAGCCUUUGGAUGGAGAAGUAGGAUCUUAGUCUCUAGCUUCUGUGUGGGGAGUGGGGAUUUAGCUUCUGAAAUGGAAGAUGGGGUCUCAGCCUCUGAAGCUGAAAAUCUGGACUCAGUUUCUGGAGGGAAAAGCUGGGACACAGACGUGGGUGGUCGCGGUCAAAAUCAAUUUCUCAAAAGCGGCCUUUAUGCCAGGCUGGAGGAGCUCCCCCUAGCGAGUGAGGGAAGCAGGACACUUUGAAACGAAUGCGUUUCUCAGCUUCUUUGCACAUGUAAAGUUACAAAGCACUUAAGAAGCAUAUAAGGUUUGUUUAAAAUGAAUAAGUUAUUUUGAGCUUGAUUUAACAUAAACUCUUAGAUAUACUCUAAGUUACUCUAAGAAGGUCCUUUUGAGAAUGCUUGAGUCUACACUUGUUUUAAUAUCAACUGUUACAUAUGAAUUAUCUCUAAGGAGCAAUAAAAGUGUGGUGUAAAAUGAA